rnacentral:misc_RNA from 1 species
AAUGACGCUGCAACAGGAUUCU